CCCUGGGGUACCGGGAAACACACACUGCACACGUUCACUCCACGCACGAGGGUGCGAGAAGCUUCAAUGCGGACACAGUCCGGCUCUGCAGCUGGAAGGGGCCAGAGAGGUCCCUGGGAAAGCCACUCAUUUUAUAGACGAAGAAGCUGAGAGCCAUCAUGGUAAAGUAAGCGACUUGCCCAAAACCUGACAGGCAGUUAACAGCACAGCAGGAAUGAGAACCCAGGUCUGGGGCCUCCCAAGCAACACCUGUCAAGUGAGCUGCUGGCUUUCAGAGCAGACACCACCGCAGAGGGGACCAAACACACCAAACGCCAGCAAGUGACCCAGAGCCUCCCAUGCAUCACUCUGAGAAGGGCCUCCUCCAAGGUGCUCUUAUCAAACUGUGACAGUCCCUCCAGGCUGUAGAAGGUGAUAGGAGGUGGUCGUACUGCAUGGGAAGGAGAAACCACUUCCAUCCACAGGGAGCCCACAGCUGAGGACAGUGUGCCGGGGAGCUCAGAGGUGACCACGUUGUCACAGAAGGCACCACGGUUGCUUACAAGUUUUGGCAAUUAUGAAGAAAGCUACUAUAAACAUUCACGUGCAGGUUUUUGUGUGGACAUAGACUUCAACUCAAUUGGGUAAAUACCAAGAAGGGGAACUGGUGGAUUGUAUGGUGAGAAUGUGUUUGUAAGAAAUAGCUAAAUAAAUAUAUUUAAUUUACAGAUAGCUUUGUAAGAAUAAAUAUUAUCGGGUUGGCCAAAAA